UGAUUACUUUCUGCUUGCUGGUGAUCAAUUUCUCCAGGGUUAUUCAAUCUUUAAACAUAGGGUUAUCAUCAAAUUCGAUCCCCAAGUUCUCUCUCCUUCUCUCUCAUCGAACAACAAUGGCGUUGCGUAGAUUCAACAACGAGCUUCGAGGUGUUACAGUGAAGGAAGCUCCCGACAAGGUAAAGCCUAUGCUAUCUUUCUCCUACCUUAAGGAAUCGUUCGCCAAAGGAAUCGACAGUUAACAUGUUUGCUUUGGUUCUUCCCGAGGAACGUCGUUAUCUUGAGCAUGCCCAGAAACGUGGUCAUUGAUCUCCCUCCUUUUUCAGAACCGAACAAAGGAAAUGGUCAAGACUUGGAGAACUACUCAUGGGUACAGCCCCUGCCAGAAGUUACUGUAAGCGUACCCGUUCCACCUGGGACAAAUUCAAGGUCCAUCUCUUGUGAGAUUAAGAAGAAUCACUUGAAAGUUGGUCUCAAGGGCCCGCCUCCUAUUAUUGAUGGUGAUCUCUACAAGCCUGUGAAGCCAGAUGACUGCACACAGAUUUCUUGGCAAUACAAGGCAGCUGCGAAUAUGACCUCUACAUCGAUGCACCCAUCUAAUUCACCUCUUAAGUCCAGGAAACCUGAACCUUGUAGCAGUAAGGAAGACCUUUAUCACUCUCGUUCUUUUGGGGAAGGCCAUCUCCAUUUCUCGUGAGUCGAGGAAGCCUACAAAUAACUCUUCGACAUUACUCGCAUUGGAGCGGCUUUUGGGUUUUUUACUGCUCCAUUGAAGUAGCUUCUGAGGUGGGAUGCUUUACAAUCGUGAAUAAUGGAGCAGCCAGUAGCGAAACCCAAGGACGGUGGCUGAACAAUCAGAAGAAUGUGAAGAAAUACAGCUUGGCCCUUUUCCGAACGAAAACUUACAGUUAAUCCCACCCCUCUCUCUCCACCACCCCCACAGCAGUAACAACACCUGCAGCAACACCGACACCUGCAGCAACACCAACACCAGCACCAACCACCGCCACAGCAAGGCCCACCACCGCACCACAUGCAACACUUACCACCAUCACACAUGCAUCCUCUGCUGUAGUACAAGCAGCACCCGCCGCUUCCUCUGCAGCACCAACAACAUCCUGUAAUGGACUUUCACCGGGGCCCACCUCCACCUCCUCCUCCUACUAUGAUUCGACAUUCUUCUGCUGCUUCUACUAAUAUCCCUCCCGAUUUUCAUCACCCUCAACAACCUCCUCAAUAUUAGUGAUGAGCUGAAUGCUGAAUCUGUUGUUGUAAAAGAUGCUUACAGUGAUGAUCGACAUGUUAGUCUUUGCACCACAUCCAGCCAAUAGCAAAACAAAAUGAAUUAAUUCCUGGGAACUAUGUCAUGAAGAGGUGUGCUGUGACCUUAUAUAGUAUACUUUGACAGGAGCAGAUUCUUCAUAAACUGAGAAAUCAAAUUAUGGGUUUCAACUGUGUGAAGAUAUUUAACAAGAAGGGGAAGGAACCCCAAGUUUGGCUUUAUCUAAUGGGUUCUGAUUUUGUGCUUUGAGUUCUUAAUUUAUGUUGCUCAUUUUGAUUGAUAUAUUUUUUGCCGAUAAGGAAUCUUUUGGUCCUUAAUUACCAGGUGCCUUGUUUAAGAAGUCACGUGAAGAGUAUUUCAACUUUUCAAGCCUAGCUAUCAAUGUAUUCCCGCCAGGAACACAUCAUUGCCACCAAACUAUGAAGUGUACGCCCGCACAUUGGUCAAGCAUGGCAAGAUACUAUCUCGAUGAUAGUUCUGCAGUUACCACUGAUGCAUCUAUAGUGCAGCAACAAAGGCAUUUUAGUUAGAAUUCACAGAUAUAAAGAGAAGGUAUUUUAAAUAAUUUUGUUAUUUUAGAUUAGAAUUCACAGACAUAAAAAGAAAGGCAUUCUAAAUAAUUUUUGUUCAAAUAUCUAGGAUACAUUUUUGUAGGGAGAUACAAGUGCAUAGAAUCUGCUUUGCAGAAUAGCUGAUACUAUCUUGUUAUGAGUUUGUAUCUUCUAAGCCCGUAGCUUGUGUUUGUAAUAUUAUUUUGUAACAACUUAGUUGUUCCAACUAUUAUAUUUCAGACUGAAUUCUUUAAAUAUGUUCAGAUUGUUUA